UACGAAGGGGGCUAGCGUUGUUCGGAAUUACUGGGCGUAAAGCGCAUGUAGGCGGGUCGUUAAGUCGGGGGUGAAAGCCCAGAGCUCAACUCUGGAACUGCCUUCGAUACUGGCGACCUGGACCCAAGGAGAGGCGAGUGGAAUUGCGAGUGUAGAGGUGAAAUUCGUAGAUAUUCGCAGGAACACCAGUGGCGAAGGCGACUCGCUGGACUUGUGGUGACGCUGAGAUGCGAAAGCGUGGGGAG
rnacentral:rRNA from 1 species